UGGGAAGAUGUGGUGGCAUUGCAGAAUGCUGGAAGUAAUUUUGAUUUCUAUUCAGGGGCCGUAUUUAUCAUUGAGAAUCUGGAUUAUGAGAGCUCUCAUGAGUAUUACCUAACAGUAGAGGCCACUGAUGGAGGCACGCCUUCACUGAGUGACGUUGCCACUGUGAACGUUAAUGUAACAGAUAUCAACGAUAAUACCCCUGUGUUCAGCCAAGACACCUACACGACAGUCAUCAGUGAAGAUGCCGUUCUUGAGCAAUCUGUCAUCACGGUUAUGGCCGAUGAUGCCGAUGGACCUUCCAACAGCCACAUCCACUACUCAAUUAUAGAUGGCAACCAGGG
rnacentral:sRNA from 1 species